UUUGAACCAUUUAUUGAAGGCUAGGGACAUAAAUUACACCUCAACUGAUAUAAGCGAUCAGAAAUCGGUUCAAAUCUGUAACACAGCAGAAGUUCAGUGCACAUAAACUGCUUUCAAAGUAGCUGAAACUGGUUUAAGAUAA